GCCCCCGUAGCGCAGCCUGGAAGAACAAUUCUAGGAAGGGCUUACCAAUAGAUUGUUUUGUGCAAAUAGCGUAGCAGGUUCCUAACCUGUUGGUCGUGGGUUCAAAUCCCAUCGGGGGCG
rnacentral:tRNA from 1 species